CUCUCCUCAUGCACCAGUACGGCCUUCCCAGACCUUGAGCCUUCAGGGAGAACUGUGUACUGCAUACCUGCUACUUUCCCAUGGAGCGAGUGAGCAGAAGCUUGGCUCUUCCUUCCCCACAAUGUGCAAUGUUCAGCAGAGCCAGCACAGGGAUCAGGGGAUAGUGAUUUUGCUGCUGGUAUAGGCUAGUAGCAAAUUAUUACCCCUCUUGCUCUAGGGGAUAUAGUACACAGGACUUGUGGUAAAGGCACAAUCUAGCCCUAUAUUUAUUAUAUGCACAGCUUUGAAUCUUCAAGAAAUGUACUAAUCAGCUUGCAUUUCCACAAAAACGUUGGAAAAUCUCAUUGACCUUUUUUUGUGCUCUAACUUAAAACUAAAUGGGUGUUUCAAGUCUCAUCAUAAGCCUAUUACUGAGAUUUCAAUAUACAGUGAUCAAUUGAACAUCAUAUGGAAAGCAAAGGUGAAACUGGGACCUGCAUAAGCUCCAGAGGACAAGAAAACAAACAUCAAGCAGCUAAACCAUGAAAACACUUAGGAAGAAACCUGAUUGUGAAAGAAAUGCAGAAUUGGAGCUAUUACUUUGGUGCUUUGAUUUUUACUUUAAUAUGGAACUGUGUCUUCUUCAAGAAACAGUGGAUAUACUCAGAGGAGAAAUCAGGGUUGUGUAGUGAAUGAGGCUGUUGUGUGUAGGGCCCCUGCCUCAACAGGUCCUGACUUUUAUUUUCCUGGUAGGUGCUCCACUCCCCUCCCCCCCCCACUCCACCUCUUCUAGCCCCCCACUCCAUCCCAUCGCCUCCUCUCCCCUUCACCCCUCCCGCUCACUUCUCUCCGCCCUCUCCUGAGCACCUCCUGCUAGCCACUGAACAGCUGAUUGGCGCCAGCCCAACAGCUGAGCACUCCCUAUUUUUUUCACUUGGGUGCUUGAUCCCUGGAACACCCAUGGAGUUGGUGCCUAUGCCUGCCUCAUUAGUUGCAGUAACCAAAAGAUGUGUAGUGAAUGACGCAAGGGACUGAAGGAAGAGAUAGGAUGGUGUUAUGGUUAAGGCAGUUGAAUACUGCCCUGGAGAACUGGAUUUUAUCCUUGCCUCUGCCACAGAGUUCUAUUUGAUGCCAAGCAAGUCACUUAAACUAAAGUUUCCAUGGGGGCCGGGUCACUUGGGGUUAUAGACUCAUCAUUUUCUGGAUGCCUGACUAGAGAUCAAUUUGCAGAAGGGCUGAGCAGUCACAGCUGCAAUGGAAAACAGUGGGAGCUGUGCUUGGAACAUAUAAAGUGCUAUAUAAUGCUAUGUACUCUGGGGAAAAAAAUCAGAUCUUAGGCAGCUGAAAUUGGGCACCCAAACUUAGUGGGCAUUUUUACCUUAAUCUUUGUGUCUCAAUUCCCCAUCUGCAAAAUGAGGAUAAUUCUACUGCCUUCCCUCACAGAGGUGUUGUGAAGAUAAGUUAAUGUUUGUGAAGCACACAUUGUGGAUUUCCCCUACCCUUGCUUCGCUCUCAGAAGUGGGUGAGCCAUCUUGGUUGAAACAUUCCAAAGCAUUUCCACCUGACAGAGCCACUAUGCAUGGGAAAUUUCACCCCAAGCAGUUAGUUUGGCAAAGUUAUAAGUCACUGAAAACAGAGUCUUAUUAUGGGAAGUGUCUGGCAACCUUAAUAGACAGCACUACCAGAACCACCUAUCUGGAAUAUGCAUAUUUUCUGAGUUUGCCUUGUGCACUCAGAAAGACACGUGAGGGGACAGAACUUUAAGUCAAUGUUAAAAUCUCCCAUUCUGGGAGCAGAGUGGGGUUCAAAUUGAAGUGCAACAUGCAGCCAGUCCCUCAUUUUACUGUCUCUGAAUGUGGACAGACUGACUUUGAUUUUAGGUAUGGGUUGUAGGGUCUAUAUACAUGGCAGAAACAGCUCUUUCCUUCCCUCACUCCCACCCUAACGAAGGAACUCUUUCUCCCAUUGCCUCUGCAUCAGCGCCUCCUCCCACUGCCUCCUUUCCCUCCUCCCCAACAUGCAAGGAUUCUCUCCCCUUUGCAAGCUCUCCUAUUAUGCUGCCUGUGCAGCGCACUGUCGUCUUCUCUGCCCUUCCCAAAAUGCCCUCCACCCACUUUCUACCACCUUCCUUCCCACUGCCAACUUCUCCUCCCCUGUGCAGACAGUCCCAUCCUCAAUUUCCCCUGCUACCUUCCUUUGCUAUUCCUCCAUGUAAGAAAACUACCCCACUUACUCUCUCUUUCCCUCCCAUUACCGAGAUCCACUUGUCCUGACUCUCGCUCCCUCUCUUUCCGCUCACGGCAGCAGAAUGCUGGGAGGAGGUGGUAGAGAACACACCAGCCAUGGAAAUAUUGUGGGGGCUCCACCCCUGUGUAAACACACACAUCUGAGUCAAGGAGCAGGACAUGGAGGGGCUAGAACAGGCCCAGGAGCAGAGAGGAACACAUGGGACACUUAUUCCUAGCCUGAAGCCAGCUCCUUCUCCCCCCGCCUCCACUCAUUCCUUUCUAUCCCUCCAGCCCACCAUUCACGGGGAGCUUCCCCUGCCCUCUUUUCACUUAUUUGGGCUCUUUCCAUCCUUUCUUUGACUGAAGGAGACUGGGGGUCAGCAGUACACAGCUCAGCUCUAUCCCUCUAUGAAGUAAGCCUCACACUGAUCAGAAAUGCCUGCAGCAUUGCAGUAUUUCUGCUUUUCUCCAGAGAACUAGAGCAGAGUCAGCCUCUGUACAGCCUUAUGGAGGCUUGAGGGAAAAAGCAUCAGAAAAUUCUGCUGGGGCCUAGCCGCAAUUGCCCCUAAUUACUGUCAAUGUUUCCAGAAGUUGGCAUUGGGUAUCAAGUUUGCUGAUGAGGAUGGCACAAACACCAACAUGCUUAGAGAACAGCACUGCUGAUUACAGCUGGGUGAAUAAUGCAAACACAUUUCCCUCCAAGGAGAUUACCUAGAUUCCUGGGGCCCUGUCUGCUGGCAGCUCAGGGGGAGCCAAGGCAAACUCAGAGUCUGCCCGGCAACCAAUAGGUAGUGAGAUGCCCCUCCCAGGGAGUUCAGGAAAGGGGAGAAGCCAUUUUUAAGUCAGCCUGGAGCCAGCCAGGGCAAGGGCAGGACUGGCUGUGUGGGGAGCUGGUGAGUCCCAGGCCUGCAUACAGGGUUCCCCCUGAAAACUGGGCUCUAGGGAUCUGAAAGGAAGAUCCCUCAGCUUUUCCUUCUCCACUGUU